rnacentral:tRNA from 1 species
GGCCCCUUGGUCAAGUGGUUAAGACACCUCCAUUUCACGGAGGUAACACGGGUUCGAAUCCCGUAGGGGUCA